AACGUAGGACGCAAGCGUUAUCCGGAGUUACUGGGCGUAAAGCGCGGGCAGGCGGUUGCUCAAGUCUGAUGUGAAAUCUCCUCGCUCAACGGGGAGCAGCCAUUGGAAACUGGGCAACUGGAGUCUGGCAGAGGUAGGCGGAAUUCCGGGUGGAGUGGUGAAAUGCGUAGAGAUCCGGAGGAACACCAGAGGCGAAGGCGGCCUACUGGGCCAGUACUGACGCUGAGCCGCGAAAGCGUGGGGAGCGAACAGG
rnacentral:rRNA from 1 species